GGAUAAAUGGCUGAGUGGUCGAAAGCGUUAGUUUUGAAAACUAUUAUACUCUUGUAUCAAGGGUUCGAAUCCCUUUUUAUCCU
rnacentral:tRNA from 1 species